GCACAGCACAGCAGCAGCAGAGCGGCAGGGAUGCUCACACAAACACCAGAACCUGCUCCUUGGACAGCUAAACACGUACAACUCUUCUGUUCUGCCUUGGACAGCUCUCCCCUGAGCUCCUCAGGAGAACAGAACUGGCUCCACUCCUCUUUAUCCAUCGGCUGGACACUGGGGCCCUGGGACUCAGCUGCAGAAAGGCACAAGUGAAAACAAUUCCAGCUGAGACAAAAAAGCCUGCAUGCUUUAAUUGUCAAUACUUCUGCUAAAUAAAAUAAGGUUUUAUGCAUUUGUCUUUACAAAGUCCCAGCAGUAAAUCAGUAUCUGCUUUCAAAUGACAACACAAGCUAAGUAAUUCCCGCUGUCGAGAGCCGAUGGCAUCGCGUCAAUUAAAGACCAGAAGGAGAAGA